AGGGGAUGAGCGGCAGGGAGCGGAGAGCCUCGGCGUCGGGAGAGACGCUCUCUGUGAGCAGCUCACGCCUGGGGGAAGAGGGCUGUUGUCCUGGGAUAAAUAACCCCGCCCCAACGGAAAGGCAGGGGAUCUGUCCGUUGUUCUUGUCUGGAUCCAUCACUAACUCAAUCCCAGUCCAUGGCAAACUUGUGAAUAUGUCUCCCCAAGAGCCAUCCAAGGCGUUGGGGCUGUUAUCCCUGCUUCAGAGAAAGGGAACUGAAACAUGCCCAAGGUCACCCAAGGAAAUCUGCGCUAGAUUAGCACCUGAAUCAUUCAUUCUGGUCACAGAAAUGCUAAUUUCAUCAACAUCUGAGCAGAGCCUUGAGUGAUAUGGCUGUAUGGAAGAUAGAACCUGGCCCUGAUUCUGCUGUCGUGCUGGUGUGGAAGAGCAAUUCAGCUGGUGUCAGAGGAUUUCCAUUGACAUAAAUCUAGUCAUUUUGAAGUGUUGCAAACUUCCUGCAGAACAAACGAGCCCCUACCCUGAGGAACUUUACAGCAAAAGUUUUCCAUUCCCCUCGUCAUUUCUGCCAAAAGAACUGGAGAGCUGUGGUCAGUGGCAUCACUGAAGGACAUGUGGGCUGACAGACACGUUCUAACAGACAGCAGUGCAGGCUUCCUCAAACACGGCUAACUCCGACGUACUUUGCAUCCUACCUGUUACGACCAGCUCUGCGGUUAAUAGGGUAGGAUUCUUCCUGCACAGUCGAUCCUACUUAGCACCCAAAGGAGUGGAAAUUAAAUACCAACUGGCAGUGAUCAUAAAGCCUCCGGUGGGAGCGGGGCGAGUCUGCACUUUGCAGGUGAAGGUGGGCGGCCCCGGGGAAACUUCUCCGCCCGGGUGUCUGGGAGCCCCCCGGGCAGAGCAGGCAGAGCCGGCACCGGCCGGGGGCUUCGUCCUCCCUGCGCCCGGCGGGCGCCGGCGGCGGAGGGGAGGGGAUCGCGGAGUGGCGGCGGGGGCGCAGCGUUUAAUUUUAAUUAUUGCAUAUAAAUAAAUAAACCAGG